GUGCUUUUGCCCAUUCCUCCCCUCACUAGUUGAGUAGACAUAUCAUUGUUUGUUUACUCUUUAACUUUUUGGGUUUCUUUGCUCUUGAUGUUCUUUUUAGGUUUAAUCCAGGAUUGUGUGGUUGAUUAAGCUAGUUCCUAGAGGAGGGAGCCAGUCCAUUCAGAGUUGUAUGAUGAUCAUUAGUGCUCAGAUCGUGGAUUUGAUAUCAAGUUCAAGGCUCCGGAUCUGUUCUAGUUGAGCAAAUAGAUUGGUUUGAUCAUUAAGCGUUCAGUUAUCCUAUUCUUGGUUUUCUGGAAAUUUUGAGUUUA